GUGGGGAAUUUUGGACAAUGGGCGCAAGCCUGAUCCAGCAAUGCCGCGUGCAGGAAGAAGGCCUUCGGGUUGUAAACUGCUUUUGUACGGAACGAAACGGUCCGGGUUAAUACCCUGGGCUAAUGACGGUACCGUAAGAAUAAGCACCGGCUAACUACGUGCCAGCAGCCGCGGUAAUACGUAGGGUGCAAGCGUUAAUCGGAAUUACUGGGCGUAAAGCGUGCGCAGGCGGUUUUGUAAGACAGGCGUGAAAUCCCCGGGCUCAACCUGGGAAUUGCGCUUGUGACUGCAAGGCUGGAGUGCGGCAGAGGGGGAUGGAAGUCCGCGUGUAGCAGUGAAAUGCGUAGAUAUGCGGAGGAACACCGAUGGCGAAGGCAAUCCCCUGGGCCUGCACUGACGCUCAUGCACGAAAGCGUGGGGAGCAAACAGGAUUAGAUACCCUUGUAGUCC
rnacentral:rRNA from 1 species